rnacentral:lncRNA from 1 species
UUUUAAUAAAAUGAUUGAUGAUUUUUUUUGUAGUGGAGAAAGGGUCACACAAUUAUAUGAAAUGAGUGGUUGUGAUUGAAUAAGAGAUGUUUUUUUUUUUUUGGUAAAUAAGAGAUAAUUGCAAGGAUAAAUGAUAAGGAACAUGUAUGGGGUCAUAUCCUAAGAAGGAAAAUGACAUAGUUUUCACAUACGUCAAAAAUAGCAAAAAUGACAUAUUUUUGGCGGAUGGAUGGAGUAUUAAGGAUUAAGAGCAUCUCCAAUGCCCGGAUCGAAGGAGGCGUCGAUCCGGGCCUUCCAUUGUUGCGCCGCAUUGGAGAACUAGGGUGGUUCGAAGCUGAGGUUUAGCGGAG